rnacentral:rRNA from 1 species
UACGGAGGAUCCGAGCGUUAUCCGGAUUUAUUGGGUUUAAAGGGUGCGUAGGCGGCUUAGUAAGUCAGCGGUGAAAUUUUGCAGCUUAACUGUAACAGUGCCGUUGAUACUGCCAGGCUAGGAUUUGGUUGCUGUGGGUGGAAUGUGUGGUGUAGCGGCGAAAUGCUUAGAUAUCACACAGAAUAUCGAUUGCGAAGGCAGCUCACAAAGCCAAGAUUGACGCUGAGGCACGAAAGUGUGGGGAUCAAACAGGA